CGCGGCCUAUCAGCUUGUUGGUGGGGUAAUGGCCUACCAAGGCAACGACGGGUAGCCGACCUGAGAGGGUGACCGGCCACACUGGGACUGAGACACGGCCCAGACUCCUACGGGAGGCAGCAGUGGGGAAUAUUGCACAAUGGGCGAAAGCCUGAUGCAGCGACGCCGCGUGAGGGACGAAGGCCUUCGGGUUGUAAACCUCUUUCAGCAGGGACGAAGCGCAAGUGACGGUACCUGCAGAAGAAGCACCGGCUAACUACGUGCCAGCAGCCGCGGUAAUACGUAGGGUGCGAGCGUUGUCCGGAAUUACUGGGCGUAAAGAGUUCGUAGGCGGUUUGUCGCGUCGUUUGUGAAAACCCGGGGCUCAACUUCGGGCUUGCAGGCGAUACGGGCAGACUUGAGUGUUUCAGGGGAGACUGGAAUUCCUGGUGUAGCGGUGAAAUGCGCAGAUAUCAGGAGGAACACCGGUGGCGAAGGCGGGUCUCUGGGAAACGACUGACGCUGAGGAACGAAAGCGUGGGUAGCAAACAGGAUUAGAUACCCUGGUAGUCCACGCCGUAAACGGUGGGCGCUAGGUGUGGGUUCCUUCCACGGAAUCUGUGCCGUAGCUAACGCAUUAAGCGCCCCGCCUGGGGAGUACGG
rnacentral:rRNA from 1 species